CACUCUAGAGAGACUGCCAGGGAUAACCUGGAGGAAGGUGGGGAUGACGUCAAAUCAUCAUGCCCCUUAUGCUUAGGGCUACACACGUGCUACAAUGGGUAGUACAGAGGGUUGCCAAGCCGUAAGGCGGAGCUAAUCCCUUAAAGCUACUCUCAGUUCGGAUUGUAGGCUGAAACUCGCCUACAUGAAGCUGGAGUUACUAGUAAUCGCAGAUCAGAAUGCUGCGGGGAAUGCGUUCCCGGGUCUUGUACACACCGCCCGUCACACCACGGGAGUUGGAGACGCCCGAAGCCGAUUAUCUAACCUUUUGGAAGAAGUCGUCGAAGGUGGAAUUAAUAACUGGGGUGAAGUCGUAACAAGGUAGCCGUAUCGGAAGGUGCGGCUGGAUCACCUCCUUUCUAAGGAGA
rnacentral:rRNA from 1 species